rnacentral:rRNA from 1 species
UACGAAGGGGGCUAGCGUUGCUCGGAAUCACUGGGCGUAAAGCGCACGUAGGCGGAUUGCUAAGUCAGGGGUGAAAUCCUGGAGCUCAACUCCAGAACUGCCUUUGAUACUGGUGAUCUUGAGUCCGGGAGAGGUGAGUGGAACUGCGAGUGUAGAGGUGAAAUUCGUAGAUAUUCGCAAGAACACCUGUGGCGAAGGCGGCUUUCUGGGCCCUACCUGACGCUG